rfam:Gorilla gorilla gorilla genomic chromosome, chr12, whole genome shotgun sequence
GCCAGGUGUGGUGGUGCACACCUGUGGUUCCAGCUACUUAGGAGGCUGAGGUGGGAGGAUUGCUUGAGCCCAGGAGGUUGAGGCUGCAGUGAGCCAUGAUUGUGCCACUGCACUCCAGCCUGGGCAACAGAGCAAGACCAUGCCUAAA